GACGGAGGGUGCAAGCGUUGUUCGGAAUCACUGGGCGUAAAGCGCGUGUAGGCGGCUUGACAAGUCGAAUGUGAAAGCCCGGGGCUCAACCUCGGAAGUGCAUUCGAAACUGUCAGGCUUGAGUACGGGAGAGGGAAGUGGAAUUCCUGGUGUAGAGGUGAAAUUCGUAGAUAUCAGGAGGAACACCGGUGGCGAAGGCGGCUUCCUGGACCGAUACUGACGCUGAGACGCGAAAGCGUGGGGAGCAAACAGG
rnacentral:rRNA from 2 species